rnacentral:misc_RNA from 1 species
AUCGCGUCGCCCCACUCCAACGUCCCUAGGGACUUUGCGAGCGGGCGCGGAAAUUGGUCUCCCGUGCGCCUCUCGGCCCGCGGCUGGCCUAAAUGAGAUCCUGCAUCGAUGGAUGUCACGACCAGUGGUGGUUGAUAACUCAAUCGUGCUGUCGUGCGUCGACAAGUCGCUUGCUAGGCAUCAAUUCAAAACAAAACGGCGCCUCGCGCGCCUACGA